rnacentral:rRNA from 1 species
GACGAACGCUGGCGGCGUGCUUAACACAUGCAGGUCGAACGGAAAGGCCCUGCUUUUGUGGGGUGCUCGAGUGGCGAACGGGUGAGUAACACGUGAGUAACCUGCCCUUGACUUUGGGAUAACUUCAGGAAACUGGGGCUAAUACCGGAUAGGAGCUCCUGCUGCAUGGUGGGGGUUGGAAAGUUUCGGCGGUUGGGGAUGGACUCGCGGCUUAUCAGCUUGUUGGUGGGGUAGUGGCUUACCAAGGCUUUGACGGGUAGCCGGCCUGAGAGGGUGACCGGCCACAAUGGGACUGAGGUACGGCCCAGACUCCUACGGGGGGCAGCAGUGGGGAAUAUUGCACAAUGGGCGGAAGCCUGAUGCAGCGACGCCGCGUGCGGGAUGACGGCCUUCGGGUUGUAAACCGCUUUCGCCUGUGACGAAGCGUGAGUGACGGUAAUGGGUAAAGAAGCACCGGCUAACUACGUG